GAAUUCCUUCUCAAGUCUCUACAUAUGAAAAAACAUGGAGGCGGGGCAGCGCUUGACUAUCAAGGAAACUAAGUGCAGGUUUUGCUUUCCUGUAAAGAUGUGAAUGUGUAAAGCCUCUUUCGUUUUUGCUUUUAUGUUCAGUUCGAUCAUAAUAUGUAAGAAUUACUUUAAAAGUUACGUAGCUUAGCCUUUGUCUCAUAAAAUCGUUGGUGUCCUGCUGGAAAAUCUCGUUUAAAGUCAUAACUCACUCAAAAUUGAAUUCUGUUAGGCUAUCAUUUUCCCCAGUUUUUCCUAACCCCUAUGGCUUUCCUCAUUCCAUGCAUGGAACACAGAUGGAGAUGUUUGACGGAAUGACAGUUUAAUCGCUGUUCACUUUUAUUGUUUCAGAAAGAAAACAUCUGAAGUGAAAAGUCUCUGUUUGAUUUCCACUGAAGACAGAUGGAUGUAAAACAACAUGAGGCCGAGGAAACUGUGAAGACGGAAAGGGUUGUAGACUUGGAAGAACAUGAGGGAAAAUGGGAGGCCUGGCUUCGUGCAAGCAACUACCCUUUAAUUCAGGAAGCAAUGAACAAUGUGAAAGAUAACAUUCCUCCAAGCGCUAGGUGCUAUAAUAAUCUGCAUGGGAUUUGAGACGUUGGCAUGAAAAACUCUUCCUGAAGACAAAUCAUGCAAAGUUUGAAAAUGUGUAUCGGGUUAUGUAGCUGCUGGGAACAGGAACUGCCUCGCACUUUGCCACCUAGCUUCUUGAGAUCAAGUUUGCCCGUGUGACAUGAGCUGUCACACUCUUGAGUAGGUUCACAUAAAAACAUUUUUCAGUUUCUCUGUCAAUGCACGAAUGAUAACAGGUUAUUCCGGUCAGCAGGAUAAUCUCAGUUCGGCCUGCAGGCUAACGCUGCCUGUGCUCACUUAAAGAGUUAGCAAUUCACCCUUCUGUCACAGUCACAAUAAAAAAAAUCUUUGGAAAGCAAAAACAGAACUAACUUCUUGAAGACUCUUCAAAGGAAGUCAACAAACACUGGAUCAAAUAAGAGGUUUUCAUA